UACGUAGGGUGCAAGCGUUGUCCGGAAUUAUUGGGCGUAAAGAGCUCGUAGGCGGCUUGUUGCGUCGGCUGUGAAAUCCCGAGGCUCAACCUCGGGUCUGCAGUCGAUACGAGCAAACUAGAGUGUUGCAGGGGAGACUGGAAUUCCUGGUGUAGCGGUGAAAUGCGCAGAUAUCAGGAGGAACACCGGUGGCGAAGGCGGGUCUCUGGGCAACAACUGACGCUGAGGAGCGAAAGCGUGGGGAGCGAACAGG
rnacentral:rRNA from 1 species